ensembl:ncRNA T06F4.20 ncRNA
GAACGGAAUACGGGAAAGCCUGCGCGCACACGCUUUCGCGUCUCCCAAACAUUCCUUCCCGUUGCCUUUAUUUCCUCCUCCUCCUUUUGUGGUGGUGUCGUUUUUCGCUUUUUAGCCACCCAUACUCAUUUUCAAAGACACAAGAGAAUGAGAAGGAAAAAAGAGCAGGAGAGGAGGAUGAAAAAAAGAAAGAAGAACGGAGUGAAUAUCAGCUCCGU